UUUUAGGACUGGCAGCAAUGGAGUAUUACAGGGGCUAUUCAUUUCCCUCAGUACCCCUGUGGGUCACAGCUGGUGCCUGAUAAGAUUUUCUCAACUCUUCCCCGUCCUUCCUAAAAAGUUUUAAUAUCUCUGCCUCCUGCUUUUUCUUCUUGUUCCUCUUUUUAGGUUUAUCUUUUGGUUUGUGGUUUUUAAUUAACCCUUCCAUUUCAUCGCAUAUGCUUAUAUCAAAAGUACCUUCUUUUGGCCAUUUUGUCAAUAAUUUCUCAGUUCUUUCUGCCCAUUUCUCAGACAAUUUUACAAUAUCAUUCCUUGCUACUGGGAACUUUCUACUCAGUAUUUCAAGUGCAGUCCCUUUGUUCAUGGUUAACGUCCCAUCAGUCUAACUGUGAAACGGUCCUUGUUUUCACACAGCUCAGCAAUCUGAUGAUGCUUUGAAGAAUAUAGCUGUUCCUUAUUACUUUACUCUUAGGCAACUAUUACCAAUCUGCCUGCUUUUAGUUUUGAAUGGGUUCAAUAGUGCUAUUAGUGAAAUAAUCUUUAAUUUACUUGUUCUGCCCGUACAGAUCCCUGCUUUUCCAGACUGGUAUCCACAGAACUUUCUGCCCUGCCUGUUCAGGCCCUCGUUACCUGUGAGGUGGUAUCCACAGGGACUUAUUUACACCACGUGGAGUUUUUAUUUCAGCCAACAUCUUCGUACGACACUUAUUCACCCCGUACCCCACUGCGCAGUUUUCUUGAACAGUCCUCUUCGUCUCCUCCACUUUAAUUUACACCCGCGGUUUGGAUCUUUGGAUCGGAGAGACCCUUCGGCAGUUUCCCCAUACUUCCGAGUCCCCGAGGGCCUCCCCAAGCCAACAGAAUACAGUCUGAAUUAGCAGCAAAAUGCUUACCUUUUUGUUGGGUGCACCCUUAUUCUGCCAAUCUCAGGAGUGUCCCCAGCGGACCGGGAAGCACCCUGUUGCUGCUGCCCCUUUUCAGAACCGAGAGACCCCGCUGGGUCUAGAUUUUCAUCUGGUGCCGUGACUCAGAUUCGGUACGGACGGAUUGUUGACAGAGGUGUAAGAGCCUUGAGUCCUCCACUAUUGAGUGUAGAAGAAUCGGCCGGCCAGACGUAUCGUAACUCUUGCUCCAGGAUGACCGUUAUGGUGAAGAUCAAACUUACCCUGUCAUCAUCAGUACUAGUGCUCAAGAAGGGACUAUUUACCAAUGUGAUCCUGAGCAAACAGAGACUAUGUACCAUUUAUGCUGUAAAGAUGUCCUUGUGUGCCAAGAGACUGAUUCCUUCGAUGUAUGGAACAUUUCCAAGAAUGACUGUCGCAAUGGCCAACUGCAUCAAUAACACAGAACAUAGAACAUUACAGCACAGUACAGGCCCUUCGGCCCUCGAUGUUGUGCCGACCUGUCAUACCGAUCUGAAGCCCAUCUAACCUACACUAUUCCAUGUACGUCCAUAUGCUUGUCCAAUGAUGACUUAAAUGUACCUAAAGUCGAUGAAUCUACUACCGUUGCAGGCAAAGCAUUCCAUUCCCUUACUACUCUCUGAGUAAAGAAACUACCUCUGACAUCUGUCCUAUAUCUUUCACCCCUCAAUUUAAAGCUAUGCCCCCUUGUGCUCGCCGUCACCAUCCUAGGAAAAAGGCUGUCCCUAUCCACCCUAUCUAACCCUCGGAUUAUUUUAUAUGUCUCAAUUAAGUCACCUCUCAACCUUCUUCUCUCUAACGAAAACUGCCUCAAAUCCCUCAGCCUUUCCUCGUAAGACCUUCACUCCAUACCAGGCAACAUCCUAGUAAAUCUCCUCUGCACCCUUUCCAAAGCUUCCACAUCCUUCUUAUAAUGC